rnacentral:rRNA from 1 species
UACGUAGGGGGCAAGCGUUGUCCGGAUUUAUUGGGCGUAAAGAGCGUGUAGGCGGCUAGGUAGGUCCGUUGUGAAAACUCGAGGCUCAACCUCGAGACGUCGAUGGAAACCAUCUAGCUAGAGUCCGGAAGAGGAGAGUGGAAUUCCUGGUGUAGCGGUGAAAUGCGCAGAUAUCAGGAAGAACACCCGUGGCUAAGGCGGUUCUCUAGUACGGUACUGACGCUGAGACGCGAAAGCGUGGGGAGCGAACAGG